AUACGGAGGGUGCAAGCGUUAAUCGGAAUUACUGGGCGUAAAGCGCACGCAGGCGGUCUGUCAAGUCGGAUGAGAAAUCCCCGGGCUCAACCUGGGAACUGCAUUCGAAACUGGCAGGCUAGAGUCUUGUAGAGGGGGGUAGAAUUCCAGGUGUAGCGGUGAAAUGCGUAGAGAUCUGGAGGAAUACCGGUGGCGAAGGCGGCCCCCGGGACAAAGACUGACGCUCAGGUGCGAAAGCGUGGGGAGCAAACAGGAUUAGAUACCCUGGUAGUCCACGCCGUAAACGAUGUCGACUUGGAGGUUGUGCCCUUGAGGCGUGGCUUCCGGAGCUAACGCGUUAAGUCGACCGCCUGGGGAGUACGGCCGCAAGGUUAAAACUCAAAUGAAUUGACGGGG
rnacentral:rRNA from 1 species